rnacentral:rRNA from 1 species
AGUGAACGCUGGCGGUAGGCCUAACACAUGCAAGUCGAACGGCAGCACAGUAAGAGCUUGCUCUUACGGGUGGCGAGUGGCGGACGGGUGAGGAAUACAUCGGAAUCUACUUUUUCGUGGGGGAUAACGUAGGGAAACUUACGCUAAUACCGCAUACGACCUACGGGUGAAAGCAGGGGAUCUUCGGACCUUGCGCGAUUGAAUGAGCCGAUGUCGGAUUAGCUAGUUGGCGGGGUAAAGGCCCACCAAGGCGACGAUCCGUAGCUGGUCUGAGAGGAUGGAGACCGACAGUGGAAGUGAGGAACGGUCGACACACCUGGGGUGCGGCGCGGCGGGGAAUAUGAGGCAGUGGUGGGGGUGGUAAUCCAGUCAUGGGGCGAGAGAGAAGAAGGCCGUACGUUUGGUGAGCCACUAAGUGGGGAAAAAAAAGAAGCAGGUUAAUACGGCGCGAUACUGACGGUACUAAAAGAAGAAGCACCGGCUAACUUAGGG